GGUUAAGCGACUAAGCGUACACGGUGGAUGCCCUGGCAGUCAGAGGCGAUGAAGGGCGUGCUAAUCUGCGAUAAGCGCCGGUAAGGUGAUAUGAACCGUUAUAACCGGCGAUACCCGAAUGGGGAAACCCAGUGUGAUUCGUCACACUAUCAUUAACUGAAUCCAUAGGUUAAUGAGGCGAACCGGGGGAACUGAAACAUCUAAGUACCCCGAGGAAAAGAAAUCAACCGAGAUUCCCCCAGUAGCGGCGAGCGAACGGGGAGGAGCCCAGAGCCUGAAUCAGCAUGUGUGUUAGUGGAAGCGUCUGGAAAGGCGCGCGAUACAGGGUGACAGCCCCGUACACAAAAGCGCAUGUGCUGUGAGCUCGAUGAGUAGGGCGGGACACGUGGUAUCCUGUCUGAAUAUGGGGGGACCAUCCUCCAAGGCUAAAUACUCCUGACUGACCGAUAGUGAACCAGUACCGUGAGGGAAAGGCGAAAAGAACCCCGGCGAGGGGAGUGAAAAAGAACCUGAAACCGUGUACGUACAAGCAGUGGGAGCCCCACCACUAAGCCAGUGGUGAACUCCACAUACGCAUCCUUUGCUGAGGAUACGGUUAACGGAGCGAAAGCGACGUUCAACCGCAAAAGAAGCAGAGGGGGCUUAGUGGUGGGGUGACUGCGUACCUUUUGUAUAAUGGGUCAGCGACUUAUAUUCUGUAGCAAGGUUAACCGCAUAGGGGAGCCGCAGGGAAACCGAGUCUUAACCGGGCGUUAAGUUGCAGGGUAUAGACCCGAAACCCGGUGAUCUAGCCAUGGGCAGGUUGAAGGUUGGGUAACACUAACUGGAGGACCGAACCGACUAAUGUUGAAAAAUUAGCGGAUGACCUGUGGCUGGGGGUGAAAGGCCAAUCAAACCGGGAGAUAGCUGGUUCUCCCCGAAAGCUAUUUAGGUAGCGCCUCGUGAACUCAUCUCCGGGGGUAGAGCACUGUUUCGGCUAGGGGGCCAUCCCGGCUUACCAACCCGAUGCAAACUGCGAAUACCGGAGAAUGUUAUCACGGGAGACACACGGCGGGUGCUAACGUCCGUCGUGAAGAGGGAAACAACCCAGACCGCCAGCUAAGGUCCCAAAGUCAUGGUUAAGUGGGAAACGAUGUGGGAAGGCCCAGACAGCCAGGAUGUUGGCUUAGAAGCAGCCAUCAUUUAAAGAAAGCGUAAUAGCUCACUGGUCGAGUCGGCCUGCGCGGAAGAUGUAACGGGGCUAAACCAUGCAC
rnacentral:rRNA from 1 species